AGGAAUAUAGCUCAGAUGGUAGAGCGACUGACUUUUAAUCAGAGGGUCACUGGUUCGAGUCCAGUUGUUCCUG
rnacentral:tRNA from 1 species